rnacentral:rRNA from 1 species
GUACCUACAGAAGAAGUCCCGGCUAACUUCGUGCCAGCAGCCGCGGUAAUACGAAGGGGGCUAGCGUUACUCGGAAUUAUUGGGCGUAAAGCGUGCGUAGGCUGCUUAGUAAGUCAAAAGUGAAAGCCUUGGGCUCAACCUAAGAAUUGCUUUUGAAACUACUAAGCUUGAGUACUGUAGGGGGUAGCGGAAUUCCUAGUGUAGGGGUGAAAUUCGUAGAUAUUAGGAGGAACACCGGAGGCGAAAGCGGUUAUCUGGACAGUCACUGACGCUGUUGCACGAAAGCGUGGGGAGCAAACAGGAUUAGAUACCCUGGUAGUCCACGCUGUAAACGAUGAGUGCU